AGUGAACGCUGGCGGUAGGCCUAACACAUGCAAGUCGAACGGCAGCACCGUAAGAGCUUGCUCUUACGGGUGGCGAGUGGCGGACGGGUGAGGAAUACAUCGGAAUCUACUUUUUCGUGGGGGAUAACGUAGGGAAACUUACGCUAAUACCGCAUACGACCUACGGGUGAAAGCAGGGGAUCUUCGGACCUUGCGCGAUUGAAUGAGCCGAUGUCGGAUUAGCUAGUUGGCGGGGUAAAGGCCCACCAAGGCGACGAUCCGUAGCUGAUCUGAGAGGAUGAUCAGCCACACUGGAACUGAGACACGGUCCAGACUCCUACGGGAGGCAGCAGUGGGGAAUAUAGGACAAGGGGCGCAAGCCUGAUCCAGCCAUACCGCGUGGGUGAAGAAGGCCUUCGGGUUGGAAAGCCCUUUUGUUGGGAAAGAAAAGCAGCAGGUUAAUACCCCGCUGUUCUGACGGUACCCAAAGAAUAAGCACCGGCUAACUUCGUG
rnacentral:rRNA from 1 species